AAUACCACAACGUAAAAUUGUUAUACCGUCCAAAAGAGAAAAUAGUUUGUUCCUUGAAAAAAGGAAAUAGUUUGUAACAAAAGUUGAAAUCGAUAAAGGAAUACACAAAGGUAAAAUACUGCCAUGUGUAAUACACCUACCAGUGGGUAUAUGACAGCCGAAACAACCGGAUCUGUUAAUUCAAGAACACUAGUGUCUGACACUGAUGUUAAUACCCACCCUGAUGUUAUAUAUGAUGAGUACAAAAACUUGGAGGAAGUUACCGAAGCAAUAAGGAAACAGGGCCUAGAAUCAUGUCAUAUGAUAUUUGGUCUGUAUCUUUAUUAUUUUUUC